AUUCCCAUUCCAAUUCCUUCAGUCCAAAAUCCAAACGGUGCUAAACCAUAGAUUGUUAUCCAUAUACACAACCCAAGGACAUUCUCUCGCUCUUCAUGCGUGACCCAAGAAGAAACCCGUCGUGUUCUUUUCUCUCUUGGCUUUGUCUCUCCACCUUUGCCUCCAUCGCAACCAGGUAGACGUUCCAUCCUUCCAUCAUUUUGUCUCUGUCGCAAAUAGUUAAACGUUAUUCUCAGCCACAUCUUUUUUUGUGUACAUCUUUUAUCACGUUCUCCGUUCAAAUCCUCGCCGUCCUGAUCUCUGACGUCCUCCAUUCAAUCCUCGCGGUGGAAGUCGUCGUCGAUCGUUGCUCCUUCGAAAAUGUUCAACCGCGGGGCUCCAUCGAAGACCCCAAACGUUGUUGGGCCCACGCCAAUGACAAACAACAUAACCGCUCGCUUAGCUCUGUCUUAAUCUCAGACGUCGUUUAUUCUACGUAGCGUGGUUCAUGAUUGAAGGCGGCACCGAAAAGAAAGAAAAAGACAUUGAAGGAUGUAGAGGAAGAAUAUUAAGAUCGAGGAGAAAGAGAAGCAAGAGGAUAGGGUAUGUAAUGGAGAGGAGGAUGGGAAUACAAAUGAAGAAGAAGCAAGUGAAGAUGACAAUGAGCAAAAGAGAAAAGAUGACAACGAAGGCAAAAGUUCAAAAAGCGAAGAAGAAACAUUAGCGUGAGAACCAAGGAGAAACAAACUCACAAGCGAAAGAAGGUAACAAGUAUGAAGGGCAAAGAAAGGGAGAAGAAUGAAGGAAGCAACUAGGGGAAAACACUACUAACAAAAAAGGAAGAAAAGAUAUGUUUAUUGAUAUUAAUUUGACCUUACUGACCGGCUAAUCCUACAUAUUUUAACUUAUAAUCCCAUCUAUAAUAUUACAAUCUUAAGAAACAUUUAUUUUAUUUCAUCA